UGAAACACUGCUACAGUUACAAUAAAGAUUAUCACUUGAUCUCUUCAUAGUGCAUCAUGACAGAUAAUAAUUUAAUUGUGAAUUGUACUGAAUUAAACAAGUGCAGUUUAUGUACCUGCAGUAAUUAAAUGUGUUUUAUUCUCAGAAUGUGAUUCAGCUGUGAUCUACUCAGCAGUGAAAACUGAAGAUGUCAGUUAUGGACAAACAACCAUCAGAGCAAGAAGGCCCAGAGUUUCUACCAGAGCCAAAUGUCAUCUACUCCUCACUGAAGUCGUCCACCAGUCCAACCACUGGGAUCCAGCUGCUGCUCUCUAACUGGUCCACACAGCAGCUCAGACCUGACACAUUCACUGACAUUUACACCGGGAGAUGCUGGACUAGAGCAACUCAGAUAUUGAAGGACCCGUCUCAUCCCAGCAAUAAACUGUUCCAGCUUGUGCAACAAUCAGGCAGAAGGUUCUGCACCAUUACCACAUUCUCAUAUCAUCCUGAUCCUUCCAGCUUCACUACAGCACAUUGACUUUAAAACCCAC
ensembl:lncRNA